rnacentral:rRNA from 1 species
AGAAUCAACGCUGGCGGCGUGCCUAACACAUGCAAGUCGAGCGCGAAAGGGGAGCAAUCUCCGAGUAGAGCGGCGAACGGGUGAGUAACGCGUGGGUAAUCUACCUCCGAGUGGGGAAUAACAGCGGGAAACUGCUGCUAAUACCGCAUGACAUCGUCGAGCCCUCGGGCCUGACGAUCAAAGCCGGGGACCGCAAGGCCUGGCGCUUGGAGAGGAGCCCGCGUCCGAUUAGCUAGUUGGCGGGUAAUGGCCCACCAAGGCUCCGAUCGGUAGCCGGCCUGAGAGGGCGGACGGCCACGACGUGGACUGAGACGCGGCCAGACUCCGUACGGGAGGCAGCGAGUGGGAAGUUUUUCGCAAGUGGGAACCCGUGGACGAAGCAACGCCGCGUGGAGGAGUAGAGGCCGUUCGGU